UGAGUGCUUUUCUCUGGUCUCCUUGAUCCUGCAUCAGGCGAGGCUCUGCAAGUAUGACCUGUACUAAGAUCAGGGUGACCAUUUGUGUUUGGUGGUCCAGGAUAAUCCUUAUUUGUGCCUUUUAUUCUGGCAUAAUUAUUAGUGGUGCAUCCUUCAUGUUUCUCAAAAGUGUCUUGGUUUAGAGAGCAGAUUAUAUGUCACCCAAACUCUCCUUUCGAUCCUUUAAUCUCCCUUAAUCAUCUCUUGAAUCUGCCUCUUCCUGUCUAUUCUCACACACUCUGUUCUAACCUAGAACCACUUUAUGUCUUAUACCAGUUUAAUAAUUUCCCAAUACCUCACCACGGAUCCUCUCCUUGCAAUGAGUUCUCACCAUUGCCUUUAAAAUAAACUUUAUAUUCUUAGUACAGUAAAGUAGGUCCUUUAAUGAUUUGUUCCCUGCCCAAUUUUCAGACCUUACCAAGGCCCUUCCAUAGUCCCAUGGAUUCCUCAUUUAUUCUUUUGCCUUCAGGCAUGCUAUGCUCUCUGUUCACUCUCCUUCAAUCCUUACUUAGCAACCCCAUACCCCCUAAAGCACUAAACACAAAUAUCACAUCCUUAAUAAAGUACUCUCUGAUCUCCUAGGGUACAUCCAUUGUGGGAUAAUUUUCUUACACAUGCUUUUCUUAUGGUUGUGGUCAUAUUGCUUUGUAUUUGUUUGGUUGGUUGUUUUCAUUUUUUUCUGUAUGCCUGUUUUGACAAUCUAUAUUGAGGAGUAUAACUUUUUUAUAAUAUUUCCAUUUCCCCAACGUCUGUCCCAGGGUCACCACUUAAUAAACACAUCCCUGAAUAUCGAAGAUAAAUUAAAAAUAUUAAUCUAACAUGCUGAAAUAUACAGAGCUAACCAUUCUGCUUUUCCUGGAACCUUCUGACUCUGUCAGUGGGUGAAGUCCCCAACAUAUUGCAGUGACCUUGAGUAAAUAACUUGCCCUGGGACCAAGUUUCAAUAAUUAUAAAAUGGAAAUUUUGUCAUUGCCUAUGUUACGCCAAAACGCAUUGAAGGUAUAUUUAUUAAAAACUGUUUUGGAGAUGAUAAGUAAUAUAGAUUUGAUAAUUAUUAUAAAUAUUAUAAGGAAUAUAACCAUUAUCGCUAAUUCCUCUAAGAUCCCAAAUAAAACAAGAAUAAUAAGAUAAAGAUAUACCUGUUCACACACAUGCAUAAAUAUCCACAAAUAACUCUUCCUCCAGGAUACAGGCUGAUUACUGAUAAUGAGAUGUAUCUUCCAGCCAAUAUAUUUAAACUCUUAUUCUGACUGAUGGCCUGUCUUAGGAUUUGACAAAAAUAUUCUUGUAAAAAUAGAUUUAACGAUAUCAAUUCUGAUAAAAGCAGAACCAAGCUUGGCUUUGAGACAAGAAAUUCUAAGCCCCAAAGCAGAAACCUAUUUAGGAAGUUAAAAUCAUUAAUUAGCUUUUCUGGUUUUGUCAGAAGCUUUAUUUCAUUGAUGGUUUACUGCAUCUACUUAGAGCCAGUUCUUAACUGAAGAGUGACAUUCCAUAAUAACAAUAGGUUUAUGGUAAUUAUUUAAACUUAGUUAAAUUUUGCGUAUUACUCUUAAAAAAGUGUGUGUGUGAGAGUUUCAGAAGUAAUGAAAACCUGUUUUGCAAAUAUAAGAUACUCCAGGUAAUAUUGUAGACUGCAAAAUGUAUAGUGAAAAACUAGCUUCCUAGUGCCCAUUGUGGUUCUGCCAUCAUUUAUUUAUUUAACUAUGAUAAAGAUAUUAACAACUAACCCCUUUGAUAAUCACUUAUGUAUGAAGCAUAGAUUUUCCCAGGGGAUUCUAUAACAAGAAUCUGAAAGUUGGCAAGGGGCAGAGAAAGCAGUGAGUUAGUCAUCAUUGUACUUGGAGGAAACAAAAGCUGAUGGUUAAGUUAUCUGUGUAUGUCUCAGAGAAGACAGGUAGGUGCAUUGUGAAUACAGACUAUGGUGAGGUAGAAUCUCCAGUAUCUGUCUCUAGUUUGGACUUAAAAUAUACAGAUCAUCAUAAAAUUUCAAAUUAAAACACUUGGUUUAGGUCCUAAGGAAAUUGGCAGGUGGCUGCUAAUUCUCGUAACAAUCAUCUUGAGGGCUCAUAUUUCCUCAUCUUCAUACUGUGAUGUAAAUUUACUUUCUUGUCUCAGCAUUAUCAGAAUGCAUUAAUAAGACUAGAGGUAAAAAUUUAUGAACUGAAAGCACAUAAAUACACCUUGAACUGAAGAAGAAAAUUUUCAUUUAUUAACAUCUAUAGAAUGUGAUUUCAGAGGCAUUGAGCAUAUCUCUCCUAUGUUUUACUCUCCUGUUUCCUGAGCCUAAAUAUCUUCUCCUUUAAAAUAUGAACUCUCCAGGACAGGCAUGCUGAUUUGAUCUGUUAUCAGCCUUAGGAAAUUGAGUGUAAACAAAGAAUUAGAGAGAGGAUGGCAAAAGGAAAGAGCUGACUGGAGACAGUAAAAUAUCACACAACCACCCACAAUGGGGAGAAGAAACAAGUGUGAGCUUGAGAAAGGACAUACAUUGAUGACUAGAGUGGAAGGACAACUUCAAAUAUAAGAUAUCCUAGGUAAUAUUGUAGACCGCAAAAUUUACAAUGAAAAACCAGUGUUCCAAUUCAGAAUUUUGAUAUAAAUGCUAAUAAACCAGUGGAUAAAUAAACUUCUUGACCAAAGGCUUUGUUUAAAAUAAAUAAAUAUCCUCCUUAAAAAUUUAUCAAAUUGACAAGCACAAUAAAUUAUGAGAAUUACCAUUUUGCUUUAUAUUUGACCUUAAAAGUAGAAACCAUUUCCUGGUUUAUUCAUGUUUGGACAGAUGACAUUUGUGUGGCUGUAUUUCCCAAAUUAUCUCUUUCUUCUUUUCUUCAAACUAACCAUGCAUCUGGGGACAUUCAAACACACCACAUUUUAGCUAUCACGUAUGAAUGAUCCAUUUCUGAAAAUCUUGGGUGUGUAGGUGAAAUGAGGUGGGGGUCCAGUAGGUAGACAUCUUCAAAAUGUGAUUCUUGGAGAAAUUUCCAGGGCUAUAUCCAUCCCAUCAAUAGGGCAUUGAAUUAGGGGACCUGGUCUUUGUUUCCAAUUGACAACAGUAGAGAUUAACUACAAGCCUUCCCAGGUGAUACAUUACUUUGAGAUACUAUCCAAAAUUUAAGUUUCUUAAGUCAUGUAACCACAUGGUCAUUGACAUAGUGUGUAUUCAAUGCUAAUAAUGAAACUGCCUGUCAUUAUAUCCCUUUGCUUAUGAAGAGCUAAUUUGUUUUGUGAGCAUAAAAAAUUUUUGAGGGAUUGGACAUAUAUUUUAAAGCUAGUUAAUUAUUAAUCAGUUUUUGCAGAACUCUAUAGAAUAGCCACACUUGGAAUCAUCAAAAGCAAUAUUGUAAGAAAGAAUUUAAAUUAAGAGAAAGAAAAUCAACCCACAUUAACUUGUCAGAUUACGAAUUCCAACAAAAAACACUGGGAAACCAUGGUCUUGAGCCAACCACCAACUCUAGAGUAGGUGCAGGGAUUCUUUCUGUUCCCCAUCAAUAGUACCUUGACUAUAUCCUUGGCCACAUGCCCUGCUCCUUCUGUGGCUCUAUCAAUUGUGUCUUUGACAACUCCCUCAUUAAUGCUCUUUUGAAAAAUAAUUUAAAGCUCUCUUGAAGAUAACAAAUACUUCUUGCCCUAAAUCCCUCCCCCGAUCCAUCUUUUGUAGCAGGUUAACCUCCUGUGCUCAAAAACAUGCUUUCCACUUUCUCUGCUCAGAAGGAGGGAGUUGGAAGCUGCCCAAUCAUACUUAAAAACAAAAAUGGCAGGUAAAUUUUAUCAGUCUUGUGCAAAAAACCUAUAGAAGAGAGUGGGGCUAAUAUCCUGCCAGCUGGAGCAAGUCAUUUCACAAAUUUAAUAUAAUUUUCUCUACUAAAGUGCUUACUAAAUUGAAAAAAAAUACUUUUAUUAGUAAUUGUAAUUCUGCAACUGUGUUCAGUAAGUACUUUUGUACCAUUAUCAUUCAGAAAAGGUGAACAGGACCCAAUUUAUGGCACAAUCUAGCAAUCAGUCCAAAUUCACACCCAGUUUCCAAGUUAUUUCUCACCUAGGAGUUGCCUUUAUUCUCAGAAAUUUUCCACUGUGGUUCUGAAAUUGGUCUGGCUACUUACUGCAAGAUGUGGACCUGUCUUAAGCUUAUUGUUAACCGACAUAAAAUUCUCUUUAGAAAUUUAGCAGUGGACUUUCAUACAUAUUUCAUGAAAUUUCAUUCCAUGUUAGGCCCAAACAAAUGAGAUCAGUUUCAUUGGCUCAGCUUCCCUUACAGAUGACAGUAACCAUUCACUCUUAGAAAAGAAGACAGAGGCUGACUUUAGGGAAGGCAUGUAGAGAUAUUUGACAAAGAUACUUGGAUAUGCAAUGAGACAUGAUUUGAUAUGAUUAUUACACUAAAAUAAUAUCACAUAGGCUAUCAUUUUAUUAGAUGGAACACUGAAACUAUUGCCCCGGAAAGGCACUGAAUAUUUACCCCAACUCUGUAUUUACUUCCAUCCAUACCCUAACUAGAGAAGGAGCUAGAACUUGGAUUAUCUCAGAAGAAACCCUAAAUCAAGAAAGAGGUAUCCUGCAGAAUAUGGGGACUUAUAAGUAAUUUCCUCUGUCCACAACAACAUGAAUUCUGUCAACUUAAUUUUUCAGAUCCAGAGAAUUUCAGUAGCAUAAGGAAAUCGCUAUAGAUGCUAUUGGCAACUCAUCUAUCACCCAUGUACUGUACUGAGGUAGUUAGCAGGUCUCCAGUCCACGGCUUUUCCUGAGAGCUUUUGCCGGAGACCUGGCUGUCUGUUUCUUUGCUGUAAACUAGUCAGUUUAAAAGUGGUCCUAGGAAUGGGACCUGUUCAGGAAAGAAUGGAUUUUAUGCCCUGCUUAUUGCCUUCCAAAUGCCAGGAGCUUUUCAGAGUAAUAACAACUGGUGUAAAAAGAGAAUUUGAAAUAAAAGAAGCUUUUAUUGCCCUAGAAAGAGGCUGCCCAUAAACUUUCCACCUGCUUUAACCGCUGGGGAAUGUGUGGGUAUCCACGAUUUCUGGCCAAUGAGAAUUUACCUUUCCUAUUAGCCUCAUAUCCUCCAGAAUAAUGUACAUGAUAAAAAAUGGAGCAGGAAAACAGGAUCAAACCCCUUUAAUUGCAGUUGUCAAAUGUAUUCCAGCCUAGCACUUUACACAUUCUGUCAUCAAGAGGACAUUUUACUGCUGGUGCUGAUGCUUUACUCUUAUGCAAAAUCUUUCAUCUUGGAAUAUCAAAGAUUUCUACAAACACUAAUUCAUUAAUUAAGCCUCCUGAUGACUGUUCAUAGAAAACAGGAAAAUGUAUUUCAAAAUGAAAGAGAUUAAAAUUCAGGUUGUUUGGGUGGCAGCUUCAGUGAACAAAGAAUGCCAUUUCACCGGUGUCAUUGUGACCCCUCACAAAUCAGUCACUGCAUCCAAAACAGGCCUUUCUAUAAAAAUGCAAACAUUUUUCAGGUGAAUGUUUCACAGGUUUGUCUUUAGUAUCUAAUGAACCUUCUUCGUGGCACUCCGUCAAAUCAUUUGUCUCUAAUUCUGUUGUUCCUUUGUUCUCUUUCUCUAAUAGAAUGUGAAACCUUACGAACUUGCUGAGAUUUAUUGGUUCCCUUCAGAGUGGCUGUAGAAAAACUGGUGUUAAAACCCCACCCAUAGGGAGAGGGAAACCUGCCCUGCAUCAAAGACAGGUUUUCAAAAAAGCUGCCCUCAAAAGCAAAGGCAAUAAAAAUAUUUGGCUAUGUUGGUCUUAAGUAGUUAAAAUGUUGAAACUCAAAUCAAAAUAAAACAUUAUCACCUCAAAUCACUAUAUAAAUAAAAGAGACCGGAGAAUGUUUUCUACUCUUCUAUCAUUCAAUAAGUAUAAUUUAAGUAGAGUCCUGGCCAAUCCAGUGCCAGUGUGUGGCUGUUUCUCAGGAGGUUUUAAAGUCCAGCUUGGGUUAAUGCAUGCUCUUGCCUAGUUUGAAAGAAAGGUCGAUGAGGCACAGGAAAAGGUACGAGAAAUGUGUGCUGAAAAUUCUACCGCCUCCCUUCCUAACUGGAAUACCACAUGGGAUUCUAAAUCCUACAAUUUCUGAAUCCAUUCAAAUGCAUUUGAGGUUUGCCAGUAUCAUAACCAGUAAUGUAAGGAAGAAUUUCAUUACCUGGUCAUAAAUAUUCCCAUGAAGUAGUCUGUAAACCCAUGCUUAGAGAGCCCCCAUGACUAAAACACUCAACUAACAUCUAGUGCCUAUAAGGUACAAGGACUGUGUUGGUAUCACCUUUGACUCCUCAGGGUUUCUAGAAAUUAGAACCCGGGUCUAAAAAUACACACUUAAAAUUCAAUUAUUUUUACUAAUAAUAAACUAAUUUUCUAACUUUCUCUCUCUCCCUUAGCACUGUCCCAAUAAUGUAGCAGAGUGAAUAAAAG
rnacentral:lncRNA from 10 species